rnacentral:rRNA from 1 species
CCUACGGGAGGCAGCAGUAAGGAAUAUUGGUCAAUGGACGAAAGUCUGAACCAGCCAUGCCGCGUGAAGGAUGAAGGUCCUCUGGAUUGUAAACUUCUUUUAUCUGGGACGAAAAAAGGGCUUUCUAGCUCACUUGACGGUACCAGAGGAAUAAGCACCGGCUAACUCCGUGCCAGCAGCCGCGGUAAUACGGAGGGUGCAAGCGUUAUCCGGAUUUACUGGGUUUAAAGGGAGCGUAGGUGGGCAGGUAAGUCAGUGGUGAAAUCUCUGGGCUUAACCCGGAAACUGCCAUUGAUACUAUCUGUCUUGAAUAUCCUGGAGGUAAGCGGAAUAUGUCAUGUAGCGGUGAAAUGCUUAGAUAUGACAUAGAACACCCAUUGCGAAGGCAGCUUACUACGGGAUUAUUGACACUGAGGCUCGAAAGCGUGGGGAUCAAACAGGAUUAGAUACCCUGGUAGUCCACGCCCUAAACGAUGGAUACUCGACAUCAGCGAUACACUGUUGGUGUCUGAGCGAAAGCAUUAAGUAUCCCACCUGGGAAGUACGACCGCAAGGUUGAAACUCAAAGGAAUUGACGG